rnacentral:rRNA from 1 species
GACGAACGCUGGCGGCGUGCUUAACACAUGCAAGUCGAACGGAAAGGCCCUGCUUUUGUGGGGUGCUCGAGUGGCGAACGGGUGAGUAACACGUGAGUAACCUGCCCUUGACUUUGGGAUAACUUCAGGAAACUGGGGCUAAUACCGGAUAGGAGCUCCUGCUGCAGGGUGGGGGUUGGAAAGUUUCGGCGGUUGGGGAUGGACUCGCGGCUUAUCAGCUUGUUGGUGGGGUAGUGGCUUACCAAGGCUUUGACGGGUAGCCGGCCUGAGAGGGUGACCGGCCACAUUGGGCCUGAGCUACGGCCCAGACUCCUACGGGAGGCAGCAGUGGGGAAUAUUGCACAAUGGGCGGAAGCCUGAUGCAGCCACGCCGCGUGCGGGAUGACGGCCUUCGGGUUGUAAACCGCUUUCGCCUGUGACGAAGCGUGAGUGACGGUAAUGGGUAAAGAAGCACCGGCUAACUACGUG